AGUGAACGCUGGCGGUAUGCCUAACACAUGCAAGUCGAACGGCAGCACAGUAAGAGCUUGCUCUUACGGGUGGCGAGUGGCGGACGGGUGAGGAAUACAUCGGAAUCUACUUUUUCGUGGUGAGAACGUAGGGAAACUUACGCUAAGACCCUAUUCCACCUUACGGUUAAAGCCGGGGAUGCUUAGGCCUUUAGCGAGUUAAUGAGCCUAUGUCGGAUUUGCUAGUUGGCGGGGUAAAGGCCCACCAAGGCGACGAUCCGUAGCUGGUCUGAGAGGAUGAUCAGCCACACUGGAACUGAGACACGGUCCAGACUCCUACGGGAGGCAGCAGUGGGGAAUAUUGGACAAUGGGCGAAAGCCUGAUCCAGCAAUGCCGCGUGGGUGAAGAAGGCCUUCGGGUUGUAAAGCCCUUUUGUUGGGAAAGAAAAGCAGCAGGUUAAUACCCCGCUGUUCUGACGGUACCCAAAGAAUAAGCACCGGCUAACUUCGUG
rnacentral:rRNA from 1 species